ACAAUUACGUGGUGAGGAUUGGAAUUGGAACAACUUAAACACAUUAUGUUUGGCAAUAGGGUCUAUAUUUGGUUCGAAGAUGGAAUAAUAGUAUAGAAAAGGUGGAAAGGAUUUGGACUAAAAGCUUCUG